rnacentral:rRNA from 1 species
CCUACGGGAGACAGCAGUAGGGAAUAUUGCUCAAUGGGGGAAACCCUGAAGCAGCAACGCCGCGUGGAGGAUGAAGGUUUUCGGAUUGUAAACUCCUUUUGGUAGAGAAGAGAAUGACGGUAUCUAACGAAUAAGCAGCGGAUAACGCCGUGCCAGCAGCCGCGGUAAUACGGAGGGUGCAAGCGUUACUCGGAAUCACUGGGCGUAAAGAGCGCGUAGGCGGGAUAGCAAGUCAGAUGGGAAAUCCUAUGGCUUAACCAUAGAACUGCAUUUGAAACUGUUAUUCUAGAGUAUGGGAGAGGUCGGUGCACUUCUUGGUGUAGUGGUCACAUCCUUAGAGCUCACGCGGAAUCCUCAUUGCGCCGGCGACCUGCUAGAUCAUACCUGACGCUGCUGCGCGAAAGCGUGGGUAGCAACCAGGAUUCGCUACCCGAGUAGUC